rnacentral:rRNA from 1 species
UACGUAGGGUGCAAGCGUUAAUCGGAAUUACUGGGCGUAAAGCGUGCGCAGGCGGUUUUGUAAGUCUGUCGUGAAAUCCCCGGGCUCAACCUGGGAAUUGCGAUGGAGACUGCAAGGCUAGAAUCUGGCAGAGGGGGGUAGAAUUCCACGUGUAGCAGUGAAAUGCGUAGAGAUGUGGAGGAACACCGAUGGCGAAGGCAGCCCCCUGGGUCAAGAUUGACGCUCAUGCACGAAAGCGUGGGAGCAAACAGG